rnacentral:tRNA from 1 species
GAGGGUAUGGCUCAGUGGUAGAGUGCGUGCUUAGCAUGCAUGAGGUCUUGGGUUCAAUCCCCAGUACCUCCA